UUAAUUUGAGAGUUUGAUCCUGGCUCAGGACGAACGCUGGCGGCGUGCCUAAUACAUGCAAGUCGAACGAACUCUGGUAUUGAUUGGUGCUUGCAUCAUGAUUUACAUUUGAGUGAGUGGCGAACUGGUGAGUAACACGUGGGAAACCUGCCCAGAAGCGGGGGAUAACACCUGGAAACAGAUGCUAAUACCGCAUAACAACUUGGACCGCAUGGUCCGAGUUUGAAAGAUGGCUUCGGCUAUCACUUUUGGAUGGUCCCGCGGCGUAUUAGCUAGAUGGUGGGGUAACGGCUCACCAUGGCAAUGAUACGUAGCCGACCUGAGAGGGUAAUCGGCCACAUUGGGACUGAGACACGGCCCAAACUCCUACGGGAGGCAGCAGUAGGGAAUCUUCCACAAUGGACGAAAGUCUGAUGGAGCAACGCCGCGUGAGUGAAGAAGGGUUUCGGCUCGUAAAACUCUGUUGUUAAAGAAGAACAUAUCUGAGAGUAACUGUUCAGGUAUUGACGGUAUUUAACCAGAAAGCCACGGCUAACUACGUGCCAGCAGCCGCGGUAAUACGUAGGUGGCAAGCGUUGUCCGGAUUUAUUGGGCGUAAAGCGAGCGCAGGCGGUUUUUUAAGUCUGAUGUGAAAGCCUUCGGCUCAACCGAAGAAGUGCAUCGGAAACUGGGAAACUUGAGUGCAGAAGAGGACAGUGGAACUCCAUGUGUAGCGGUGAAAUGCGUAGAUAUAUGGAAGAACACCAGUGGCGAAGGCGGCUGUCUGGUCUGUAACUGACGCUGAGGCUCGAAAGUAUGGGUAGCAAACAGGAUUAGAUACCCUGGUAGUCCAUACCGUAAACGAUGAAUGCUAAGUGUUGGAGGGUUUCCACCCUUCAGUGCUGCAGCUAACGCAUUAAGCAUUCCGCCUGGGGAGUACGGCCGCAAGGCUGAAACUCAAAGGAAUUGACGGGGGCCCGCACAAGCGGUGGAGCAUGUGGUUUAAUUCGAAGCUACGCGAAGAACCUUACCAGGUCUUGACAUACUAUGCAAAUCUAAGAGAUUAGACGUUCCCUUCGGGGACAUGGAUACAGGUGGUGCAUGGUUGUCGUCAGCUCGUGUCGUGAGAUGUUGGGUUAAGUCCCGCAACGAGCGCAACCCUUAUUAUCAGUUGCCAGCAUUAAGUUGGGCACUCUGGUGAGACUGCCGGUGACAAACCGGAGGAAGGUGGGGAUGACGUCAAAUCAUCAUGCCCCUUAUGACCUGGGCUACACACGUGCUACAAUGGAUGGUACAACGAGUUGCGAACUCGCGAGAGUAAGCUAAUCUCUUAAAGCCAUUCUCAGUUCGGAUUGUAGGCUGCAACUCGCCUACAUGAAGUCGGAAUCGCUAGUAAUCGCGGAUCAGCAUGCCGCGGUGAAUACGUUCCCGGGCCUUGUACACACCGCCCGUCACACCAUGAGAGUUUGUAACACCCAAAGUCGGUGGGGUAACCUUUUAGGAACCAGCCGCCUAAGGUGGGACAGAUGAUUAGGGUGAAGUCGUAACAAGGUAGCCGUAGGAGAACCUGCGGCUGGAUCACCUCCUUUCUAAGGAA
rnacentral:rRNA from 2 species